rnacentral:rRNA from 1 species
ACAGCAGUAGCCACGGUAACACGAAGGGGGCUAGCGUUGCUCGGAAUUACUGGACGUAAAGGGAGCGUAGGCGGACAUUUAAGUCAGGGGUGAAAUCCCGGGGCUCAACCUCGGAAUUGCCUUUGAUACUGGGUGUCUUGAGUAUGAGAGAGGUAUGUGGAACUCCGAGUGUAGAGGUGAAAUUCGUAGAUAUUCGGAAGAACACCAGUGGCGAAGGCGACAUACUGGCUCAUUACUGACGCUGAGGCUCGAAAGCGUGGGGAGCAAACAGGAUUAGAUACCCCCGUAGUCCCUGUCUCUUAUAC